AGCGCCGUGUGGCGGGAGGACCGAGUCUGGGCCCAGAGCUUCUGUUCGGGAACGUGAGCUAUCGGGGGAACUGAGCACUCGGCAUCCAGCGGGGGCGGCGUGGAGCUCCGCGCCCAGGACCCGCCCCGGGUGCUGGGAACUCGGUACCGGCGAUGGCGCCGCGGUGGGGCGGCCGGUGCUUGGUGCUGCUGUGUUUCGUGAUGCAAGUCGCAGUCGCAGAUGAACAUGAUUUCGACUUGGCCGACGCCCUGGACGACCCUCAACCCACCAAAAAGCCAAGCUCCGAUCUUUACCCAAAGCUGCCUCAGCCCUCGGACCCCAACAGUGGAA